AUACGUAGGGUGCGAGCGUUAAUCGGAAUUACUGGGCGUAAAGCGUGCGCAGGCGGCUUUGCAAGACAGAGGUGAAAUCCCCGGGCUCAACCUGGGAACUGCCUUUGUGACUGCAAGGCUAGAGUACGGCUGAGGGGGAUGGAAUUCCGCGUGUAGCAGUGAAAUGCGUAGAUAUGCGGAGGAACACCAAUGGCGAAGGCAAUCCCCAGGGCCUGUACUGACGCUCAUGCACGAAAGCGUGGGGAGCAAACAGGAUUAGAAACCCGAGUAGUCC
rnacentral:rRNA from 1 species